GCGAGGGCCGCAGGGCCACAGCGGCUGCAGCGCCCGCCCUGCACGCGGAGCCCCAGGGGACCCCAGAACCAGGGGCGUGGGGGCCAAGGGAGGAAGAGAGCCUGCCGGCGGCCACCGCGAGGACCACCGCCCUCCCCUGUCCCCCUUCCUUCCCCGGGGUGCGAUUCUUCCCUGCGCACCCCAGCCAACCCCACCGCACCUCUGGGGCCUUGACUGAUUCCUCACUCCCUUUCUUGAAUUGCCUUCUCAGGAACUCCAUUUGCCCAGAGCCCCGUCUGUCCGUGUCAGCGUCCAGGACGCUGCGGAUGUGUCUGAAGUCUGAUGAUGGGAGACGGGCAGCGACUGCAGCGAGACACAGGGCAUGUCAGGAGCGGAGGGCUGAACUUCUGUGAACUACCUCUUGAAGAAGUCCCUUGAGGAAGCCGGGAGACCAGUGUGCGUCCGGCACCCACAGAGACCUGGGUGGCCAGCAUCAGAGUGAGAGCAUCCGAGGUUGUAGGACGCAGUUCUCGGAUUUCUGAUAUAUUGGUCGACAAGGCAAGGGAUUCUCAUGUUGACUCGUA